UUGUUCUGUUUCGUUGUUCUCUCACUACUACGACUACCCCCACAAGCCCUAGUUCUCAUCGAUGGAAUUCGCGGCACAAUGAUCUCCAAGAUGCUGUACAUUCGUUUAAUUGCAUGCUCCAAGUUGCCUCCCAUUUCUCGAUUCAACAAAGCUUUAGUUCCUCUUUUGAAAAUGGGUCAUUCCGACAUCGCUCUCUCUCUUAUUACUGGCAAGUUGCAUUAUGAUGUUACCAAUCAAGGAUUCUUUGGAAGGAAAGAUUGGUUUGCAACUAAGGAGUUCUAGUAUUGCUAUAUGGUACUAUGAUAAGAUUCAGUUAUAUAUAGCUUGCAUUUAUUAAGCUAACUACAGAUUCGGCAGUUUUCACAUGACCCUUGGGGUGAUUUUAAUAGUUUCCUGGUAUGUAGUAUGUAUCCUUUUGAUAUUGGGGCUGCUGAGUCUAAAAGAUAUUGAUAUUGAACUGUGCCAUAGCUAGAAUGGAAGUCAAUUAUCAAGGCACAAGUACUAACAAAGUUGCUAGUGGUUGCUUAACUCUAGGAGGCCGACAUGUGGACAAUUUGUCCAAUUGUUGGGCUGUAAUGCUGCAGAACACAAGGCUGCAGUCUGCAGAGGCUAUGGGUUGCAUAGUGUCUGGCUUGCAAAUGUUUCCUGGACUGGUUGAUGAGAAACGGAGAGAGGGUUGCAACGACCCAAAUACGGAGUGACAAUUGACAGAUGUCCAAGGAAUGGAAACCCUUUGGCUGGUUAAAUUGGCAACGUGCAACUUUCUUUUAGAAUGGCAUGUAAUCAACUUGAUGAGCAAACCACUUUUCCAUCUUACCUAUCCAAUGAGUCCGAAGGUGGGAUCAUGCAUCUGUUGCUGGGUAACAAACAAUAACAGAUGUACCGGGAGUUUGCCCUUUUGCUUUCUCCCCCUAGUACAGAUUGGCAAUGGAUGGAACGUAUUUCGAGGAGCAUCAGAGGAUUAUAUUUUGAAUUUUUGGAUAUAUUUUGUCAUAGGAUUUUGUAGCUUGAAAGUUUUUUUGGAAUCCUUGAAUACAUGUUUCAAGUUUCGGAUUGUAAGGGAUACUUAUGUUGAAUGUUAUGGAUUUGAUAUUUUGCUUAUGUUUAA